rnacentral:rRNA from 1 species
UACGUAGGGUGCAAGCGUUAAUCGGAAUUACUGGGCGUAAAGCGUGCGCAGGCGGCUUUGCAAGACAGAUGUGAAAUCCCCGGGCUCAACCUGGGAACUGCAUUUGUGACUGCAUGGCUAGAGUGCGGCAGAGGGGGAUGGAAUUCCGCGUGUAGCAGUGAAAUGCGUAGAUAUCAAGAGGAACACCUGAGGCGAAGGCGGGUUGCUAGGCUGACACUGACGCUGAGUGCGCGAAAGCGUGGGGAGCAAACAGG